GUCGUUGAUGAAGGUAAUAGUGAAUAUUGGUAGAAGUCCUUUAAUGAAGCUCUGCACAGGAUGAGGGUAUGCUCCUUUAAAGAGCACCUAUUAUGGGAUACACGUUUUUAAACAUCCUUUUGUGUGUAAGUGUGCAUUAGUACAUGCUAACGAUAUUCAAAAAGUACAUACCUCAAAGAAAACGAUGACGCGAGUUAUCGUCUCUAACGUUCGAGGACUACAAAAAACACUCGGAUUGUAGGCAACAGUUUACUUCCUGGGAUUAGUGACGUAGAUAAGACCAACAUUAUCAUAGUUCAGCCCUCUCUGCUUUGCUUGGGUACGCCCUCAAAGACGAGGGUGGGGUGGGGAGCGCCGAGUCAGAGGAGAGCUAAAAUGGCGGAGGUUGGGAGUCCCUGCUUUGACUCUGUUUGCAAACUCUUGUUUCAUUGUUUAAGCGAUUAAAUCUCUCGAGUAGACGCUGUCUCUUUAGAUGCGAGGGCAAAAUAGCACUUUAUGGACUUACACAGAGGACAUCAUGUUUAAUACGGUUCCGGAAAAAUCCAGUCAGAAGUUGUUCACGGAGUUUUCACAAUAACUGCUUCUCAUGAACCGAAGCUGGAUUUGCGCGACGUCUCCUCUUGAAAGUUGGAUUACUGUGCACUUCUGGAUCACAGGCUAUUCGCAGCUGUACACAUCCUUCUACACUGUAUGCAAACAUGCAACAUCAUUACACACAGUACAAGGAGUCAGACUGGCAUAUGAGGAGCAAAGGAACCCAGGCAGUAGCAUCGUUUCACAAUGUUUCCAUCACCAUCAUCAGUGGAUGCCUUUGCCGUCUGUAGCCUGAGAUUUCAGAUUUGCAGCAAAAAAUUUUUGAUUUUCUCAUUUAUUGGAAUGCUGUGCAGGUAUUUGUACCUUGCAGCCAUCCAUUACAAUGUCACCAAGCCGUAACAAAAGCAGGAGAGGGAAAGUACAAGGCUAUGUUCCCAAAACACACAAGUGACAUACCUUAUGUGGAGGAUGUGAUCAGGCUUGUGUUUGAUGAGGUAUUUGAAGAUAAGCUGAAGGAAACCCCGAUUCCAAUGGACCUGGCAUCACAGUUUGAGAGACCUUCAAAGGAGGACGUGAUUGCAUGCCAUCUUCAGUG